AGCAAGUACAGAAAUACAUGUUGUAAGGUGGAUGGGGUAUAUUUUCAACUUUUGGGGAAGAUGAGGCCACACUAGAGAAACCAACCAAGAUGUCCUUUCAGGAUCUACUCACUCAGAUUGAUAAACUUUGGAAAAGCUUUUAUUCUCGUGGUAUUAUUACACAGGCCGAGUUUGUAAGAGGAACACUUGCUGUCGUCUUUAGAAACACACGGGAGCUAGAAGAACCAUUCCGGGCCUCAAACGAAUUACAGAAUUUGGGAUUGCAGCUUCACAAAGUCAAACUGGAUAUCUCUCCGUGCUACUUAAAAACAGAAUGGAAGGAGAGACUAGAGUUAGGUGUAGAUGAUAGAGAAACAUUUGCUCAGGAUUUAGUAAAUUUACAUAGAGUACCAACAUAUAAUACCUUUUAUGGAGCACUGGAUGGUGAGCGGAGCGAGGAUGACAAAUCUCAGAUUUGUGAAUUACUUUAUGAAGAACUGCGAGACGCGUUUUCAACCAGAUACCCAGAAGAGGUGGAUAACGAUGGAAUAAUU